rnacentral:rRNA from 1 species
UACGUAGGGGGCGAGCGUUGUCCGGAAUUAUUGGGCGUAAAGAGCUCGUAGGCGGCUUAGUAAGUCGGCGGUGAAAUACCGAGGCUCAACCUCGGCACUGCCGUCGAUACUGCUAUGGCUAGAGUUUGGUAGAGGAGAACGGAAUUCCCGGUGUAGCGGUGGAAUGCGCAGAUAUCGGGAGGAACACCCGUAGCGAAGGCGGUUCUCUGGGCAAAUACUGACGCUGAGGAGCGAAAGCGUGGGGAGCAAACAGG